rnacentral:tRNA from 1 species
UGGGGUAAAAGUGGUUUUCAAAAAUGGCAGGAUUCCUGCGGUUUUUGGGUUCUCAGAAUGUCCAUAAGGAGGUUUGGGACCAGGGGGUCGUAAGUUCGAAUCUUACUGCCCCGACCA